GAGGCCUAGCGGUGGUGUGCCGUUCCCACCCCCAGCGCCCCCUCCUCCGGUCGGCGCCGCGGUGUCCGCGCGUGGGUCCUGAGGGAGCUCGUCGGUGUGGGGUUCGAGGCGGUUGAGUGAGACGAGACGCGCCCCUCCCACGCGGGGAAGGGCGCCCGCCUGGUCCGGCGAGCGCACGUCCCGUGCUCUCCUCUGGCGGACGGAAUGAAGUUGAUAAUAGUGAGACCUUGUUGGUACAAGACUCUGUAACAUAACCUGCGCUUCUCAACAAAGAAUUGCUUUUCUGACUUCUGCACUCAAUAGCAAGACAAAUCUCUCCUCUGUCUUUUUCUUAUCAGACUACUCAACAUGAAGGCAAUAAGAAUGAAGACCUUUAUGUAUAAUAAUUGACUUCCACUUAAUAAAUAAGGUUACUUGGUACACUGGUCGACAAAACCUUGAAAUGUUGAUGUUUAAGGGCUGUUGAUUGCUGGCAACAAAGAAGUCCAACUGUGCUGGUACCCGAGAUAGCGUCUCCACAUUUUCUUCCAGGAUCAUCACCUUUGUUGUAAAUAGCUCCCACAUAGUGUGAACAGAAGUCAUAUGUUUUAGAUUUUCUGCCUUGGCACCCAGG
rnacentral:lncRNA from 1 species